rnacentral:lncRNA from 1 species
UUUUCGCGAAGGCCCGCGGCGGGUGUUGAUGCGAUGUGAUUUCUGCCCAGUGCUCUGAAUGUCAAAGUGAAGAAAUUCAAUGAAGCGCGGGUAAACGGCAGGAGUAACUAUGACUCUCUUAAGGUAGCCAAAUGCCUCGUCAUCUAGGAACGGACUUGGCGGAAUCAGCGGGGAAAGAAGACUCUGUUGAGCUUGACUCUAGUCUGGCACGGUGAAGAGACGUGAGAGGUGUAGAAUAAGUGGGAGGCCCCCGGCGCCCCCCGGGCGGGGUCUGCCGGCCCUGCGGGCCGCCGGUGAAAUACCACUACUCUGAUCGUUUUUUCACUGACCCGGUGAGGCGGGGGGGCGAGCCCUGAGGGGCUCUCGCUUCUGGCGCCAAGCGCCCGGCCGCACGCA